UCACAAAAGGAAAAUAGAGGGGGAAGGGAGGGCGUCUCGUUGACUUGGAGAGAAUGGAAAAGAACCAGCCCAGCACUGGAAAGCCCCCUGGUGCCAGGCUGUACCUCCUU
rnacentral:lncRNA from 1 species